UUUCCGUAGGUGAACCUGCGGAAGGAUCAUUAACAGACGUCUCGUCUCGGUGUCGUCAGACGCCGUGGCAAGACGACAAACAAGAGGAGGUAUCGGACAUUCCGCAAGGGAUGGUCGAUGCCACCACAAAGGCUGAUGACGAAGUUUUGUAUCUUUGACACCACACACAGUCCUUUAUCCUCGCAAAACAAAGUGAUGGCUCUCCCUAAAGAUUCUCCUAACUAUUAUCUUCUCUCCUAAGUUCUCAACAACACAAAAAAACAACUAAAAACUUUUGACAACGGAUCUCUUGGCUCUC
rnacentral:misc_RNA from 1 species